UACGAAGGGUGCGAGCGUUAUUCGGAAUCACUGGGCGUAAAGGGUGCGUAGACGGUAUGUUAAGUUUGUUGUUAAAGACUCCGGCCCAACCGGAGGACUGCGAUGAAAACUGGCAAGCUAGAGGGUGAGAGAGAGAAGUGGAAUUCCCGGAGUAGCGGUAAAAUGCGUGGAUCUCGGGAGGAACACCAAUGGCGAAGGCAGCUUCUUGGCUCAUUCCUGACGUUGAGGCACGAAAGCGUGGGGAGCAAACAGG
rnacentral:rRNA from 1 species